rnacentral:rRNA from 1 species
CAAGGAAUUUUCCGCAAUGGGCGCAAGCCUGACGGAGCAACGCCGCGUGCGGGAUGACGGCCUUCGGGUUGUAAACCGCUUUUGGGGGGGAUGACAUCGACCGUACCCUCCGAAUCAGGCUCGGCUAACUCUGUGCCAGCAGCCGCGGUAAGACAGAGGAGCCAAGCGUUGUCCGGACUGACUGGGCGUAAAGCGCACGCAGGCGGUACGGUAAGUGGGGUGUGAAAGCGGCCGGCUCAACCGGCUGAGGCCAUGCCAGACUGCCGCACUCGAGCGCUGCAGAGGGUGGUGGAAUUGCCGGUGUAGUGGUGAAAUGCGUAGAGAUCGGCAGGAACACCAAGGGGGAAGCCAGCCACCUGGGCAGCCGCUGACGCUGAGGUGCGAAAGCGUGGGGAGCGAACUG